rnacentral:misc_RNA from 1 species
GAUGAAGAACGUAGUGAAAUGCGAUAAGUAGUGUGAAUUGCAGAAUUCAGUGAAUCAUCGAAUCUUUGAACGCACAUUGCGCCCCUUGGUAUCCCGAGGGGCAUGCCUGUUCGAGCGUCAUUUCACCACUCAAGCCUGGCUUGGUGUUGGGCGACGUCCUCUUUGGGGACGCGCCUCGAAACGCUCGGCGGCGUGGCACCGGCUUUAAGCGUAGCAGAAUCUUUCGCUUUGGAAGUCGGGGCCCCGUCUGCCGGAAGACCUGCUCGCAAGGUUGACCUCGGAUCAGGCAGGGACACCCGCUGAACUUAAGCAUAUCAAUAAGCGGAGGA